CUGCUCUUCCUCUUUCUUCCUGAAUCUCCCGACUCCUCCCUUUCUUGUUGCUCUGACAACCACUCGUCUCUCAAUUCUUUCGGACCGUACUGAAAUAUCUUGGAACAUCCCUACAGAAUAUGCAAGGUCUGUGUCUUCAUCAGAGCCAAGCUAAGCAGCAAAAAGAGGUAAAGUCUGGGUUUAAAAUAAAUGUGAGCAACCUCCGCACCCAAUUCUCCAAUAUCCACACAAAAAGCCUGGGAGAGACAUUGUGGGCAAUGUGUGAGCCAUGGCAAGCUGCAUGGAUGGCCCUGGACUCCCAUUUUGUACCUGUGCCCUUAUCUAAGAAAUGCCUAGGUAGUCCUGUUCUUUUGCCUGCCAGUAAAAGCAGACAUUUUUCUGAAAACUUUCACCUAAAUUUCCUUGGACACUUCAGUGUAGGCUCUAACUUAAAUCUUAUCUUUUGUUAUAUUUUCUUGUGAAAAUUAAUGGCUGUGUGCUAUAGUGACAUGUUUAUCAUAUAUUGAAUUAAUGUUUUACUGUUCAUCUACCUGACCUGCCCAGUAUAUCUUAUCUUCAUUUCAUCUGGGUAUAUUACUUUGAGAGGGACUUGCUAUAAAAAGUGACAUAAAUACUUGGAAUAAAUCUGUUGCCACAUAAUCGGAGUACCAUGAGACAGCUGAAGGAGGAAAGGAAAACUU